GUGCUCAGUUCGGCAGCACAUAUGCUAAAAUUGGGGUGAUACCAAGAUUAGCAUGGUCCCAGCGCAAGGAUGACUUGCAAAUCCAUAACUUUCAGUAUUUUU